ensembl:lncRNA
GCCCGCGCCACCGUCGCCUCGCGCCAGCCGGUCCCCGGACACGCCGCCGCCGCCGCCGCCGCCGCCAGGAAGGCAGCCGGAGCGGAACAAGUUGCGAGCGCGCCUCUCCGCCCGGGGAAAGUUUCCCCCGCGGCCGCCGGCGGGAGUUGGUUGGGGUCCGGCUGCUGCUGCUGGAAGAGUUUAUCCUGAAGCCAUCAGACCCUCCUGACCCUCCCGGAAGGAACAGACACCAACUGGAAGAGGAGGGCAUCACCUGGACUGCCCGGGCGUAGUGUGGCCGAGAGUAGAGAGCUUCCAACACCGUCAUCAGAGCAACUUGAAACCUUUGACGUUGGCAUCUAGACACGACUCAGUCCUUUUCCAGACCUCCCAACGCCGACCACCCAGGACGAGCUGGGCCCAUAAAAGAAGACACAAGAGCCCCUCUGACUGGAGACUCUGUCCUGCCGACACCCAAAGACCUGCCCCGGUGACGUGUCAGCACCUGACGCCCCUCCCUCUGUGGGCGCCUCUGCUCCAUCCCCCAACACCGGCCCCUGCCCAUCCCCCUCUGCCCUUCCUCCGUCUAUCUCUUCCCCUGUCACCUCUUGCUGUUUUCCUUUGUCUUUCCCUCUUUUUCUGACACGUCUUGGUCUACAUCUCUGAUUUGCAGGUCCAUACUGGUAUCUGUUUUCUCUUUUCCCACUGUUCAUUCCUCCUGACGUAUUAAUGGAGGACCCACUGUGUGCGAGGCACGGCUCUCGACCCUAGGAACACGGCAGUGAGCAAAACAAGUCCAAGCCUUUAUUUAAAAAAAUUUUUUAAUGUAUGUUUAUUUUUGAGGGAGAGAGAGACAGAAUGUGAGCAGGGGAGGGACAGAGAGAGAGGGAGACAUAGAAUCCAAACCAGGCUCCAGGCUCUGAGCUAGCGGUCCGCAGAGCUCGACUCGGGGCUCAAACUCAUGAACUGUGAGAUCAUUAGCUGAGCCAGUCAGAUGCUCGACUGACUGAGCCCCCAGGUACCUAGUCCAUGCCUUUACGAAGCACGUGUUCUAACAAGGGAAGGUGUGUGCUACCAAAUUAAAUAAGGACAACACCAAGUAGGCAGUGUGUCCACGGACCCUGACCGGGCUUCAAGGCCAGGGCGCUAGGCUCACCUCCAUCGCUCCCUCGGCCACACCCCUUUUCCACUUCUCAGCCUGUUUUCCCAUCUCCCAAGUGAGGGGAUCGGGCCGAUCUGUGCCACCCUCCCUUCUUGUGACCAAGAACCUCUUUUAUUAAAAUGCUGGUGACAUACGUCACACAAGCUCCAGAUUCUAGAUCAGUGGUGACGCCAGUGGGAGAGUUGCAGAAAGGUUUCUGACCAGUCUGAAGGCUCUGACACACCUGGUUUGGUUGUGCGAGAAACAGUCAGCGCCUCUGGGGGUCUUGUUGUAUGAUAUGCCUGUCUGUAGGCCCAGAGCCCUCAGCUGGGCAGGCGAGGGGCCCCGUGACAGGCACCUCGAGAUCCCGAGAUCCAGGGCAGCAGGCUCCCAGCCCCGCUCACCCUGGGGGAGACCCCAGAGCCAGGCGCGGGGUGAGGGGAUGAUUUCCCAAGGGGUUGACUGAAAUCCUGAAAACAGCUUUAGGAAGAGUGCUAGCCUCAGGGAACCCAGUUUGAGGACCGUUCUCCCUGGUCAGAAAUC